rnacentral:rRNA from 1 species
UACGUAGGGUGCGAGCGUUAAUCGGAAUUACUGGGCGUAAAGCGUGCGUAGGCGGUUCGUUGUGUCUGUGGUGAAAGCCCCGGGCUUAACCUGGGAAUGGCCAUGGAAACUGGCGAGCUGGAGUGUGGCAGAGGGGGGUGGAAUUCCGCGUGUAGCAGUGAAAUGCGUAGAGAUGCGGAGGAACACCGAUGGCGAAGGCAGCCCCCUGGGCUAACACUGACGCUCAUGCACGAAAGCGUGGGGAGCAAACAGG